rnacentral:rRNA from 1 species
GAUGAACGCUGGCGGCGUGCCUAAUACAUGCAAGUCGAGCGAACAGACGAGGAGCUUGCUCCUCUGAUGUUAGCGGCGGACGGGUGAGUAACACGUGGAUAACCUACCUAUAAGACUGGGAUAACUUCGGGAAACCGGAGCUAAUACCGGAUAACAUGUUGAACCGCAUGGUUCAACAGUGAAAGACGGUCUUGCUGUCACUUAUAGAUGGAUCCGCGCCGAAUUAGCUAGUUGGUAAGGUAACGGCUUACCAAGGCAACGAUGCGUAGCCGACCUGAGAGGGUGAUCGGCCACACUGGAACUGAGACACGGUCCAGACUCCUACGGGAGGCAGCAGUAGGGAAUCUUCCGAAAUGGGCGAAAGCCUGACGGAGCAACGCCGCGUGAGUGAAGAAGGUCUUCGGAUCGUAAAACUCUGUUAUUAGGGAAGAACAAAUGUGUAAGUAACUAUGCACGUCCUGACGGUACCUAAUCAGAAAGCCACGGCUAACUACGUG